rnacentral:rRNA from 1 species
AUUGAACGCUGGCGGCAUGCUUUACACAUGCAAGUCGAACGGCAGCGCGGGCUUCGGCCUGGCGGCGAGUGGCGAACGGGUGAGUAAUGCAUCGGAACGUGCCCAGUAGUGGGGGAUAGCCCGGCGAAAGCCGGAUUAAUACCGCAUACGACCUGAGGGUGAAAGCGGGGGACCGAAAGGCCUCGCGCUAUUGGAGCGGCCGAUGUCGGAUUAGCUAGUUGGUGGGGUAAAGGCUUACCAAGGCGACGAUCCGUAGCUGGUCUGAGAGGACGACCAGCCACACUGGGACGGAGACACGGCCCAGACUCCUACGGGAGGCAGCAGUGGGGAAUUUUGGACAAUGGGGGCAACCCUGAUCCAGCCAUGCCGCGGGCGGGAAGAAGGCCUUCGGGUUGUAAACCGCUUUUGUUCGGGAAGAAAUCCUCUGGGCUAAUACCCCGGGGGGAUGACGGUACCGGAAGAAUAAGCACCGGCUAACUACGUG